UUGAAAAAUCCACUUGAAGGAUCUGUGUAAAAUAUAUCCAGCAAGUAGUAGAUAAUAUAUAAUAAAUCACAAGGGAAAGAUCAAGACACAGGAAAUUUUAGGAGUUUACAAAGCAUAAAGCCAUUUAAAGUCUAUUUUUGCAUAAAUUUUUUUCCAUAUGGAAAUAAUUUUUAGUCCUCAAAUUACUUGAUAGACUAACUUCCUUGUGCUGAAAGUUUGUUACCUUUCUAUCAUUAGCACCUUUGA
rnacentral:misc_RNA from 1 species